GCUUACAGCCACACCACUGUGACAACGCCCGAUCCCGUCUGAUCUCGGAAGCUAAGUGCGGUCAGGCCCAGUUAGUACUUGGGGGCUGCAGGGU
rnacentral:rRNA from 1 species